rnacentral:rRNA from 1 species
AACGAACGUUGGCGGCGUGGAUGAGGCAUGCAAGUCGAACGUGAAAGCCGCAAGGUGAGUAGCGUGGCGGACGGGCGAGUAACACGUAAUCAAGCUGCCUGCGAGACGGGGAUAACCUCGGGAAACCGAGGCUAAGACCCGAUGGUCUGCCGAGACCGCAUGGUUUUGGUAGUAAAUGGGCGGGAUCCUCCGGGAUCGCCUGCUCGCAGAGGUGAUUGCGGCCCAUCAGCUAGUUGGUAGGGUAACGGCCUACCAAGGCAACGACGGGUAGCCGGCCUAAGAGGGUGGUCGGCCGCACUGGGACUGAGACACUGCCCAGACUCCUACGGGAGGCUGCAGUCGAGAAUCUUCCGCAAUGGGCGAAAGCCUGACGGAGCGACGCCGCGUGGAGGACGAAGGCCUUCGGUUGUAAACUCCUGUCACGAGUUAAGAAGGACGCAUGUGCGAACAGCAUAGGCGUUUGACGUAAGCUCGAGAGGAAGCACUGGCUAACUCUGUGCC